rnacentral:rRNA from 1 species
GACGAACGCUGGCGGCGUGCUUAACACAUGCAAGUCGAACGGAAAGGCUCCUUCGGGGGUACUCGAGUGGCGAACGGGUGAGUAACACGUGGGUGAUCUGCCCCUGACUUUGGGAUAAGCCUGGGAAACUGGGUCUAAUACCGGAUAUGACCUGCCCUUGCAUGGGGGUUGGUGGAAAGCUUUUGCGGUCAGGGAUGGGCCCGCGGCCUAUCAGCUUGUUGGUGGGGUAAUGGCCUACCAAGGCGACGACGGGUAGCCGGUCUGAGAGGAUGGUCGGCCACACUGGGACUGAGACACGGCCCAGACUCCUACGGGAGGCAGCAGUUGGGAAUCUUGGGCAAUGGGCGAAAGCCUGACCCAGCGACGCCGCGUGAGGGAAGAAGGCCUUCGGGUCGUAAACCUCUGUCAGUGGGGAAGAAGCAAGUGACGGUACCCAAGAGGAAGCCCUGCUAACUACGUGCCAGCAGCCGCGGUAAGAGUACUCUAU